UCCCGAGUAGCUCAGGGGUAGAGCAGGCGACUGUUAAUCGCCGGGUCGGGGGUUCAAAUCCCUCCUCGGGAG
rnacentral:tRNA from 4 species